GACGAACGCUGGCGGCGUGCCUAACACAUGCAAGUCGAACGGAAAGACCCUUCGCGUUACUCGCGUGGCGUACGGGUGGGUGACACGUUGGUACUCUGCCCUGCACUUUGGGAUAAGCCUGGGACACUGGGUCUAAUACCGAAUAGGACCACGCUCUACUUGGUGUGUGGUGGCAAGCUUUUACGGUGUGUGAUGGGCCCGCGGCUUAUCAGCUUGUUGGUGGGUAACUGGCUGACCAAGUAGCCGCCGGGUAGGCGGCCUGUGCGGGUGACCGGUGACAAGGGGACUAAGAGAGGGACCAGAAGCCAACGGGAGGCAGCAGGGGGGAAUAUUGCACAACAGGCGCAAGUCUGAUGCGGAGACGUCGGGUGCGUGAAGACGGCUUACUGGUGAUAAACCUCUUUCAAUAGAGACGAAGCGGAAGUGACGGUACCUAUAGAAGAAGCACCGGCCAACUACGUG
rnacentral:rRNA from 1 species